rnacentral:misc_RNA from 1 species
UGGACAAGGAGGUGGAGAUAUACAAGGCGGUGGUGAGAAUGGAGGAGAUGCACGAGGAGUAUGCGAGGCAGUUGAGGGAAGCUGAGGAUAGGCUUGUUGGGAUUUAUAGGAAUGCUGUGGGGGAAUUUGAGAAUGAUGAAGUGAAUGGGGAGGUUGUUGCGAUACUGAAAGCAGCAGAGAGUGGUAGUGUUGUGGAAAACGUGGAUCUUUCUGGGCGGCAAUUGAGGCUAUUUCCUGAGGCUUUUGGUAGGCUUCAUGGGUUGCUUCUGCUCAAUCUCUCUCACAAUCAGCUAGAGGUAUGUAUAUUAAUUAGAAAUCCUCUUUACGGCUAUUACAGUUUUUAGCUUAAUGCCUCUAAUGUUUGUAUCCACAAAAAUAACAAUACUAAUCGUGUAGUGCCAGAGAGACCAAUAGCUUUGUUUAGCGUUUCUAGCUAUGCACUUGUUCCUGUGAUCCAAUACAUUUAUCUGAGUUUAGGUAAGUAGUUACUAAUAGAGAGAUAUAGGAAGUAUUCUUGUAGGUCUCAUCUACACCUUAAAAAGUCCAGAGUUCGAAUCUGGCCACCUAUUUAUUAGUUGAAUAUUUCAGUACAAGGGAAAGUGGAAAGUGGGCAAGCACUUGUUCAGGCUUAUAGAACUAUUGUAGCCCUCAUCUGCAAGCUUAAGCUUUUAGGUGAAAGGUUCCUUGCCAGUUACUAGACAGUAGCGUCGUAAUUCAUGCCUUGACUUAAUGAACUCUUCAGCUUGGAACCUGAUACGUCUUUUUGCUAUAGAAAAUGGUAUCCUUCCUGAUCUGUGUAUGUAAAAUUUUUGUGCUUUUCAAUUGUGAUAUGUUUGCUGGACUUGGGCAUUUCUAAUCAUAUCUCGUUUGUCAUUGCACUCAAUAAGUCAAGGGGUACAUGCGGUCAUUUCUUGUCUUAAAUAGCUAAGAGCAUAUUAAAGAUUCAUGGGAACCUCCUUGUGGUUGAUUCAGUUGUUGGUAAAAUUCCUAAUUGGGGCAUAGUUUUGCAGUGUUUUUGUUGAUUUCCUUGGUUUGUGGCAACAGGUCAUUCCUGAUUCAAUCGCGGGACUUGUGAAACUUGAGGAGCUUGAUGUUUCUUCCAACCUUCUUGUCUCACUGCCUGACUCUAUUGGAUUGUUGCGAAAUCUUAAGGUCCUAAAUGUGUCAGGAAACAAGUUGACUGCUCUCCCUGAAAGUGUUGCUCUUUGCAGGUGAUGGUUUUUUUUCUGUUCUCUUUCCUAUGUUAUCGGCACAAUUUCUGUUAUUGAUAGAUGUUUCUUUUCCUUUUGUUUAUACUCUUUUAACUUGUUUUGUUUCUAAAAUUUAUUGAACUAUGUUGUAGUUCUUUGGUGGACUUAGAUGCUAGUUUUAACAACUUGAUGUCUUUACCAACAAAUAUUGGGUAUGGGCUGGUGAAUCUUGAAAGGCUUUCAAUCCAGCUGAAUAAGAUCCGUUUUCUUCCACCAUCUAUUUGUGAAAUGAAGUCUUUGAGAUACUUGGAUGUUCAUUUCAAUGAGCUUUGUGGCCUGCCACUUGCAAUUGGGAGAUUAACAAAUCUUGAGGUCCUGAACUUAAGCAGCAAUUUCAGUGACUUGACUGAACUUCCUGAAACAAUUGGUGAUCUAACUAACCUGACAGAGCUCAAUCUGAGCAACAACCAAAUUCGAGCUCUUCCCCAUACAUUUGGUAGGCUUGAAAAUCUGAACAAGCUCAACUUGGAUGAAAAUCCACUCAUAAUUCCUCCGAAGGAGAUAGUGCACAAGGGCGUUCAAGCUAUCAGGGAGUUCAUGCAAAAGGGGUGGCUCAAUAUGUUAGCAGAGGAACAACAGAGGAGAAUGCAGGAGUCAAAUCAGCAACAAGCUCAAACUGGAUGGCUGGCAUGGGGCACUUCCAUGUUGAAUAACUUUGUGUCUGGGGUUUCUGAAACUGUUUCAGGAUAUAUAGGAGGGACAAAAGCUCCACGGGAUCCAUAUCUGGACCAGCAGUUAUGAAUUUUAUUCAGCUUCUGGUUUGUUUCUGUAAAUUCUCAGUGCAUGCGGUCUGGCAGUAUGUAAAGCUGGUGAAAUUUGCCUUUAGUCUCUGUUAUGCUGGUGCAUCUCCAUGAACUUUGUUCGAAGUUUGUGUAUUCUAGACUAUAAGUAUCAGCUUAUGUGGUAGAACACACAUUUAAAUACAACUUUAGGUACCCAAAAGGUUUCAUGCCAAGCCAAUGAAUGGUGAUACAUAAUGGUUAAUAAUCUUUCCAAUCUAUGAUACUGAAUUACUUCCAUCUUCUCUGAGGGGAGUCAGAAGUGGCUCUGGGUAAAGAUGAAUCAGAGCUGGUUUAACCUAUUACCAAAGUGUGUUUGAUAUUUUCUUUCAUUAAACACUUAAAAACGUUGUUCAGUUCAGUGGAUGUGAAGGAUUGCAUGCAGAAGGUUCAAGUGCUGAAAUAUGCUGAAUCAGCUAGCCAUGAUGGGGCAUUGGUGGUAAAGGCAUUCAGCUCAGGCUUAGAAUUUGGCACUUGUAUAUAUACAAUUUUAUCAGUUAUUAUUAGAAUUUAAUUAAACAAAUUUUACAAAAUUAAAUACAUAUAUAUAUAGAAUUUCA